AUAAUACAUGUUAUAUGUCAUAUAAUUAGAUAUCUUAGAAUAUAUAUAUAUAUAUAUAUAUAUAUAUAUAUAUAUAUAUAUAUUCAUGUUAUGAAUUUUUUCAGUGAUCUUUUUAAAAUCCGGGAUACAGUUUUUAGGUACCAGCUACUCAGUCUUUUACUUCUUAUUUAUUUAUAUUCAAUUUCUUCUUUUUAUUUGAAAAUACAUGUAAAUUGUGUCAGCCAAGAAUUUUAUGUGCUGUUGGUCACUUUUUGAACUUUUAAAGAACAUCAUUAUCUAUAAUGUAAAUACUUUCAGUGUUUAUGUUUAGAGUUUGAAUAAACAGUCUUAUAAUUUUAACAUUUAGAUAUUUAAUAUAGUUAUCAGAUGUUUUAAAUUUUAGAUAAUUGUAAAAGAUCUAUGAUGUAACAACUUCUCUCAUGUUUUUCACAUUUUCUAAAUAUUAAUCCAUUUAUGUAAAUAAUGGUCAUCGUUUAGGUGGAAAGAACCAUAAGAGUUUCUAAUCUUAUCUAGUUUUUCUAAAUAUUGUUUCUUAAUGUUUGUUUAUUUUUGAGAGAGACAGAGUGAGCAGGUGGGGGAGGGACAGAGAGAGAGAGCAGGAGUCACUGAAUCCAAAGCUGCACUGACAACUCAGAGCCUGACUUGGGGCUUGAACGCACGAACCGUGAGAUCGUGACCUGAGCUGAAGUCAGAUGCACAGCCAACUGAGCCACUCAGUUCCCUCAUAAUCUUAUCUAGUUUUUGACACAAAUACUCAGAGAAGAAGUUCUAUAAACUCCUCAGCAAUUCAUUUUAAUGUUUAACAACACUCUGUGUCAGCAGACUUUAAUUAUAUUUUGAUCUAAAGUUCUUAUGCUACAACUUAAAGUUCAUGUCUUCUUUAUCUUCCCUUGGAAGUGGAGAACAUCUGCUUACCUUCUCUUGGGAGUAAUUCUUCAUAUAGAGGACUUGUAAAUGUCAUUGCCACAGGUUUAUUUUUGCUAAGGCUAGUUUAUCUUGAUUCCUCUGUUAUUCUGUAGCAAACUUUUCAUUGAACUUCAUUGUUCUCAGAGUUCUCUCUGGUUUCUGUACACCUCUUCUUUUUGGUUGUAGUAGUUCUCAGACUUCAGUGUACACCAGAAUCACGGUGAGGCCUGCAUAAAACAUAGAUUGCCAACCCCUCCCCUUCCCCCCUCCCCCCCACACUUUCUGAAUCCAUUGAACUGGGAUAGUUCAAUGAGAAUUUGUAUUUUGGACAAGUUUCCAUAGGAUAUCAAUUCUGCUGGUCUGGGAAGCAUAUUUAGCAAGCUUCUGGAUUAUAGAACCCCAGAUUAGGCAGCAAUCUUAGGUAGGUCUGAUGAGUGUAACAGUUCUUUACCAGAAAAGUAACUAACAUGAAAGCAGUCCGUGCAUACCUUACAUUAGUUUAUUUAGGAAAAUUUCAGAGCUUUCUAGGUUAUUGUUUUCCAUGUUCUUGAUGUGUCUUCAGGGAUUCUCAGAGCCCAUCUCUGCUAUAAGCUUGUGGGGAUGUUGCUGACAAGGCCUGUGUCUGCUUCUUCCACCUUCUUGGACAGAGCAUCCUUGCUUCAAAGAAUUUUUGCCCAGUGAUCUCUUUAGGAUUUCUUUUGAAUGCAGCUAACAACAAUGAAAAACACCUUAAAACCUUUAAAUGUAGAAUUUUCUGUACCAAAUUUUAUCUUUUAAAAUAUUCUUAAUACUAAUGUGACUUUAGGUUAUGCAUAAAAUGAGAAGAUUUAAAAUAAACCCUUUACACAUGAAACAGGAAUUGUGUUGGAUAUCCCUUUCUGUCCUUUGGUUAUAUUUUUUCCUUUAAUUACCUAUUUUUAGCACUAAAAAUAACUCUCUUCAUAGUACCUGUAUUAAUAUGUGAAGGUGUUUUGAAAAAUAAUUUUAAUAGAAAUUUUAGAAGCUGACCCACAGGGAAUUGCUCAUUUUAUUUGCCUUUUGUUCAAAACUCCAUAUGUUGUAUAAAUAUAUAACUAUUUUUAGGCUAAGUAAAUGUUUAAGGAAUAUUUUUUUGACAUGAAUUAUUUGUGCUUUUUUCUAAGAUAGUACUAACUCAGUAUAAGCUACUUUAUUUGUGCCUUUAUUGAAAUGCUUUAUUAACCAUCAUUUUACCAUGUUAAUGAUGACUGAAUCCUUAUAAAGAUAUGGCUCCAGUCACUAAAUUAUGUUUGUCAUAGUUCAUGUUUAAAAUAAAUUUUAAAAAGAUUCAAAAUAAAUUAUUUUAAUCUGUGCAUAAGAUAGGCAAUAGUAAGCAGAGUAUUUGAAUAAAUAAUCUGUUUUUUGGACAUGUUAGAUUUUGUUAUAAUACUAUUUUUUAGUUAUCUUUUAUAUUAAAAAAGGAAUGAAUGAAUACAAGAGCUGGGUUGUCCAGUGAUCAUCCAAAUAGAUCAUCUAUUUGCAUAGUUAUAAGCAUAUGCUUAACUUCCCAUAAACAGUUUAUGUUUGAGCUUUAGGCCAUAAGAAUUGUGAGAGUGGAGGGAACUGUGGUGGGGAAACCACCUUUUGCAACUUCUUUACUGAGUGGUUCACGGUAGGCUUUGCAUUUCACAGAUAUAAAGUCUUGAACCUAGUGGCUUAUAGUCUAAAAAUCAUGGAACAAAGUAAAAAAAAAAAAAAAAGUAAAACCAUUCUUUCUACAAAACUGUUUCGUGUUUUUAAUAUUUUUUAAGCUUAAUGUUUUACAGUAAUCAUUUUCAUAGUUUACGCCUCUGAACCAAAGUAUAUAAAUAGAAUUAUAAAAUAUAGGUUAAUGUAAAAAUGCUUUGUUACCAGUCCAGCUAUGUGAUGACAUUAUGCCUUAUUGUGGAACCCUAAAAAGGAAAGGCUUUCAGGUCUGCGUUUAUUUUUUUCUUCUAAGUUUUAGAAACGACUGGUUGUACAUGCCUUUUAAACAUGCCUUUUUAAACAGGUCUGUGGGUAAAGACCUGAUUUUACAAAUGGAUGGACGGUCUCAAAGCUUCAGCAAUACCAACAUCAACCACAAGAUGGCUUCACUGCCUUAAAAUUCAAAGUGAAUGCCCUCUUACCAGUAGCCUAGAAAAUUAGAUGUUUUUAAAAAGAAAAAUAAUUGAAAAAAGUUUUUAAGUUUUAAUUUAAAUAAAAUUGUAUCAUGUUUUAUGAAUGUUAAUUUAUUCUGUGCUAAUAAUACAGUUUGUCAGUGUUGCUUCUAAUGAGUUAUUAAAAUUAAGCAUACACGUUUAUUUUUUAGAACAGUGGAUUACUCUGAAACAUUGAUUUUACUAUGCAAUAAAGCUUAGUAAAUAAAUAAAAUAAAUAAAUACAAGUGCUCAUUGGCAAUUAUUAAUAGAACUGUGGAGUUUAAAAACGACUGCAUAAAACAAUAUAUAUUAGCCACAUACUCUGUUCACUUUACUUUUUUUUUUUUCCUAAUUCUCCCAGAGAACAAAAAGCUAACCAGGUGAAGGAUAGACGUGUGGAAAUAGGGAAAUGAUACACUAGUAGAAGGGUUACUUUGGAUUGGGAGUCCUGCAAUAUUUUCCUCAUGUUUCAUUUGCUGUAAUUGCUCUGAAUGUAAGAGAAAUCAUGUUCUGUGCUGUACUUUGAUGUAUAAAUUGAUGCUUUUUGCAGGGGAUCUCAAGUUUGGGAAAACCUAUUCAAGAUUAUGUCUAUUUCUCACUUAACAGGCUUUUAUAAUAUCCUGUUUUUAAAAUUUCUAAGAGGUAGAAACUUUUAGAUCUUCUAGUAAAUAUCACCAUAUUUAUGAUUCAGAAAGGGGUUUUUUUUUUGCUCAUUACUAUUAUUGUUUCUUACAUUUACACUCUUGCUGUAUGUGAAUAUCACUUGAAAAUUUUGAGAUAAGGAUGAGGGACUACCUUCGAAAGGUAUUUUUCAUGAGCACCUUUUACAGCACCUUCAUAUUGCCAUGUAAACACGAUGUCUUCCCCUCACCGGCCAGCCAAACUGCUGUUUAUUCUUCAAAUCCUCACUCAGAUGCCACGUAUCUCCUAAUUUUCUUGACCCCUUUUGAGCAGAAUUCAUUUUUAAGCAUUAACAUUUCCAUUGCCCUUUAUACCUAUAUAUGCUUCUCUAUGUAACGAAUGUUGUAGUUUUGGAACAUGUAAUAGAAAGAUGACAGACUUUGGUGUAAGACAGAUCCACAUUUGAAUUCUAAUUCUGCCUCUUACUAGCUGAGUGACCUCUGGCAGAGUACAUUACCCUCUGCUCUCAGUUUUCUCACUUAAGAUACACAGUGAUCCUAACAUACUUUAUAGAUCUGGAGGUAAAUUAUUGUAAAAACACAGGGAAAUACUUUAUUUAUCAAGGAGUUUUAAAUGUUGUGUUUGUGCUAAUAAGUUCAAGGGAUGCAGAGAUUAACAGGACAGCCCAUGCCUUGUUGGAGCAAACAGCCUAAUGAGAGAUGAAGAAACCUCCAUGUUAAUGUAGUGAAACACAUGCUAGGUCAGAAGUACCCGUGAUGAAGAGCCAGCUGUCUCAGCUUGGUGAGGCGGAGAGGUUGCUUUUCUUGCUAGACUAUUAGGUCUUAGAUGUGAUUUUCAAUGAGGUAAUAGUGAGCAGAUCCUCAUUUGGGGACAUAUUUAAAAUCUUAGGGUAGGGUGUAUACACACAAACACACACACAUGUAUAUGUAUAUAUAUAUACAUGUAUAUACAUAUGUAUAUUCAGUAUUAUUCAGUAUUAUUUCUGUAUAUUCAGUGUUAUUUCUGUUUGGAAAUUUUUGAACAAUUAAAAACCUAUUUUAUUGUACAAACUGUAAAAAAUAGAGCUUGACAAAAUCUUGACUGGUAAGAUAAGUGUAGUGGACGUUUAUGAUUCCUAGAACCUGAGUUCUUUUCCUGUGUUGGGGGGGAGGAAUUUCCUAUCUUUAGAGUCUUGGUGGUGGAGAAGAAGAAAAUUGGAAAUAGUUUUUCCCCAGCCUCCCUUGCAACUAUGCUAUGCACCUCUCAGAGCUAUGUACCUCUCAGCUCUACUAGUCAGGUGAGCUGCUCUGGUCUUGGGCUAAUCACACAACUAAGCGGGAACUGUGGCAAAUGCUCUCUGCUGGGAGUAGAAGCUACAGCAAGGCUGAGUCUCUGGGAUAACAGCGGCAGAAGUGCUGAGGUAAGUGUCCAGGGCGGGUGAGACUGAAGGGAUGAGGCAUGUAGGGUGAUGCUUGCAAUGUGCAGGGUCCAGCUCCUUAACAGCUCCUAAACGCCGAUUAUCAGCUUGUCUUCCCAGUUUAGAGUUCAGUGACAUCUAGUUGGUACUUGAAAUCAGUCACUGGCAAAUGCCACCAACACUAAGGCUUCUCAUCUCCCCCCCACCCAUCCCAGAACUCUUACCGACACACCCCUGCCCCCAGACCAGUUCUGUGGUUUGACUGUGAGUGGUUUUUUCCGCUGGGUAGGCGGCAGACCUAGUUCUUUCAUUCUCCUGACAUUUCUGUGGACUACGCACUGUCUUAAUUUCAGAAUAUCAUGUACAUUAUUUAACUAUUUUAAGGUAAUAUUUGAUAUGUAAAAAUAUAUAUGUUUUAAAGCUUAAUAAUGGUGUGAGUACCUGUGAAGCCUCAGUCUGAUAUAGGAGCUAGAACAUUAAAGUACCACCCUGCCUACUUUAUGUGCCCUGGCGCUUCCUCCCUCCCACACCAAGAAAUGGAGUUCAGUUUUACUUGACUUCUAAAAAUAUUCCUAAACAAUAUGUGGUUUUGUUUUUAGGCUUUAUAAAAUGAUAACAUAUUGUCUGCUUUCAUCAUUCAGUGUUGUAUUUCUGAUAGGUGUCUGUGUUGCACAUGGCUAUUAUUCAUUUGUUUUCUCUUCUGUAUAACAUAAACUGUGUAAAUAUACCUCAGUUUACUUAUUCAUUCUUCUAUUGAUGGAUAUUUAGGUGCUUUUCUUCUUUUUUUGAUAAUAGGUGAACUACUUCUAGGAACAAAUUUAUAUAUUUUUCCUGAUGCAUGUAUGUGAGUUUCUUUGGGACACAUAACCAGGGAUUGGAUUAUUAUGUGCUAGAGCUAAGCAAAUGUUUGACUUUAUAAGAUUAUGCCAAAUAAUUUUUCAGAAUGGUUUUGCCAGAUUUAUCUUAACUUCAGUAGUGUAUGGAAGAUACCAUUAAUCUGCAUCAUUUGUGACUCUUGAAAUUAUCAAUUUUUUUCUAAUCUUGUGAUUUUAAAAUAUGUUAUUCUCCCUUAGGCUAUUCUUUCCCUGCCCACGCCCACCCCCGUAUAAACUUGAGAAUCAAAUGAUCAAGUUUCUUAAAGUAUGUUGGGGUUUUGAUUGAAAUUGAAUUGCCCUUGCAGAUGAGCUUUUAAAGACAGUUGACAUCUUUAUGGUAUUAUAUUACCAGUGAAGGGUUUAUAAGUUGCCUCUGUCAAGAGAAGAAAAAAGCCCUGAUCUGUAGCAUUUGCUACUUUUUGUAGCAAACAUAUUACUAUCAUGGCUGGUUAUAAGCUACACCAUGAAACCAUUGAUGCCGGAAUUGGGAAGAAAUGUGGAUCAAAGGCUCUUGUAAACUAGGACAAGCUGCCUCUAGCACAUUCCUAGAUGUAUCUCUUCACUUACUUAGCUUUUCCAUAGUUUUAUAAUUUAUUAAAAGUAUACAGGUCUGGUAUCAUUUGUAAGCUUUAUUCCUGGAGUGUUUUAUUUUUAUUGCUAUAAAGUGGUUUUUUUUAAAGAUUAGUCUUUUUCUCUUUGAUAAUUGUACACUGACUUUAAAUUCUGCUACCUUGUACUUAAUGUUCUUAAUACUAUAUCUCUCUCUAUUUUUUUGUUUUCUUUAUAAAUUUGCCUUUUGUUGACAUUUCACACGAGUGGAAUCACACCACUCAUACUCUCUUGUAUCUGGCUUCUUUCACUUAAUAUGUUUUUGAGGUUAAUGUGUCAGUAGUUUGUUCCUGUUUAUUGCUGAAUAGUAGUAUUCCAUUGUAUGGAUAGACCACUUUUUUCUUUUCAUUCACAAAUUGAUGCACAUUUAGACUGCUAUGCAUAGUUUUAUUUUUUCACUGCUAAUGAAAGUAUAUUGAUGUUUAUAUUAUUUUUUCUUAAAUCAUUGAUUUGAAUCUUUACUCUCUGCUUCUUGAUCAGUCUUGCUAAGUAGUAGUUUCAUUAGUUUCUGCUAACCUUGUAUUUUUGUUUGCUAUUUCAUUAGUUUCUCUUUAUUAUCUUCUUCUACCUUGGUAUAGCUCAUUCUGUUGUUCUUUUUCAUAGCUUGUUAGUUUAGCGCACUUUCUUUGUGCGCUUUCUUUGAUCACUUUCUUUGAUCCUCGGGACCCACAGUCUCAUCACGUCUCACACAGAGGACGGCAGAGCAUGCAGGCGGCGGCUUGGUCGGUUGGCGAUCUCCCAACAGCUGGAUCUCCGACAAUACUUCAGAAGAGCAAGAAACUAACGCUGUGGAGAAACGACACGGA